UACGGAGGAUGCGAGCGUUAUCCGGAUUUAUUGGGUUUAAAGGGUGCGUAGGCGGGCUUUUAAGUCAGCGGUAAAAAUUCGGGGCUCAACCCCGUCCGGCCGUUGAAACUGGGGGUCUUGAGUGGGCGAGAAGAAGGCGGAAUGCGUGGUGUAGCGGUGAAAUGCAUAGAUAUCACGCAGAACCCCGAUUGCGAAGGCAGCCUUCCGGCGCCCUACUGACGCUGAGGCACGGAGGCGUGGAUAUCGAACAGG
rnacentral:rRNA from 1 species